GACGAACGCUGGCGGCGUGCUUAACACAUGCAAGUCGAACGGAGUGGCGAACGGGUGAGUAACACGUGGGUGACCUGCCCUGCACUUCGGGAAAAGCCUGGGAAACUGGGUCUAAUACCGGAUAGUGUGGGAUGGGCGCGCGGACUAUUAGCUUGUGGGGGGGGUAAUGGCCUACCAAGGCGGCGACGGGUAGCCGGCCGGAGAGGGUGGAAGGCCACAUUGGGACUGAGACACGGCCCAGACGCCGACGGGAGGCAGCAGGGGGGAAUAUUGCACAAUGGGCGGAAGCCUGAUGCAGCGACGCCGCGUGGGGGAGGACGGCCUUCGGGUUGUAAACUCCUUUCACCAUCGACGCGGUAGAUGGAGAAGAAGCACCGGCUAACUACGUGCCAGCAGCCGCGGUAAUAC
rnacentral:rRNA from 1 species